GGUUGACCUCGGAUCAGCUAGGACUA
rnacentral:rRNA from 1 species